UGGCCGAAGUGGUGCCUGGAUCUCUGUCUACAGCCCGAGGGAAACGAAUUUGCUUUGCAAGGGGAUAAUAAAACGCCCCGAAAGAUAUACACGAUUUGUUAGGAAAUCUACAUAUACAAGAUCGUAGCAGGAGUCCUUACAAGGCAUAUCCGUAUGGAACAAGACAAAUAAUACAAUAACAAUCGAAACGAUGAUCUGUACUGAUCUACGUGACAAACAAAACUGUUGAAAUUAAGCAUUGUAACGCGUGUGUGACCUCCGUUUCAGUGUUUACAAUAAUAGCUUGCGCUUAUGUGUUUCUAAGCAACGACAAGUUUGUUAUAGAUAGGAGUAAUGUUACACGUAUACAACCCCCCUUCACUAUGCCGUCAAACUGCACUGCGUACAAGUGUUCCAAUAGAAGUAAUCAAGACUACGCUUUGGUCAGAUAUUCGCAAGACGAAACAUUAAAAAAAAAGUGGAUUGCUGCGGUUGGAAGAGGCAAGAACUGGUCAUCUAGCAGUUCUCAGAAAUUUUCCGAAGAUAGUGACAAUGUGAACUAUGCUCUAAUUUUAUAUUUCAGACGACAAAUGUAAUAACG
rnacentral:lncRNA from 13 species